CAAAGAUUAAGCCAUGCAUGUCUAAGUAUAAACAAAUUUAUACAGUGAAACUGCGAAUGGCUCAUUAAAUCAGUUAUAAUUUAUUUGAUAUUCACUUACUACUUGGAUAACCGUGGUAAUUCUAGAGCUAAUACAUGCGUACAUAACCUCGACUUCUGGAAGGGGUGCACUUAUUAGAUAAAAAGCCAACGCGGGCAACCGCUUGUAUGGUGAUUCAUAAUAAUUAAUCGAAUCGCAUGGCCUUGUGCCGGCGAUGAUGCAUUCAAAUUUCUGCCCUAUCAAGUUUCGAUGGUAGGUUAGUGGCCUACCAUGCUUUUAACGGGUAACGGGGAAUUAGGGUUCGAUUCCGGAGAGGGAGCCUGAGAAACGGCUACCACAUCCAAGGAAGGCAGCAGGCGCGCAAAUUACCCAAUCCCGACACGGGGAGGUAGUGACAAUAAAUAACAAUACAGGGCCUUUACGGGUCUUGUAAUUGGAAUGAGUACAAUUUAAAUCCCUUAACGAGGAACAAUUGGAGGGCAAGUCUGGUGCCAGCAGCCGCGGUAAUUCCAGCUCCAAUAGCGUAUAUUAAAGUUGUUGCAGUUAAAAAGCUCGUAGUUGAAUUUUGGCCUUGGCUUAUGAGGUUCGGCCUUCACUGGUCGGUACCCCAAUGAGCCGGGCUCCACCUUCUGGGUUAGCCAGUCGUUACUUCGGUGCGGCUGGUGAACCAGAACUUUUACUUUGAAAAAAUUGGAGUGUUUAAAGCAGGCUUUCAAGCUUGAACAUAUUAGCAUGGAAUAAUGAAAUAGGACUUUGGCCUUAUUUCGUUGGUUUCUAAAGCCAAAGUAAUGAUGAAUAGGGAUAGUUGGGGACAUUAGUAUUCAAUUGUCAGAGGUGAAAUUCUUGGAUUUAUUGAAGACUAACUUCUGCGAAAGCAUUUGUCAAGGAUGUUUUCAUUAAUCAAGAACGAAAGUUAGGGGAUCGAAGACGAUCAGAUACCGUCGUAGUCUUAACCAUAAACUAUGCCGACUAAGGAUCGGAUGGUGUUAUAUUUUAUAUUGACCCAUUCGGCAUUUCAGCGAAAGCCAAGUUUUUGGGUUCCGGGGGGAGUAUGGUCGCAAGGCUGAAACUUAAAGG
rnacentral:rRNA from 1 species